rnacentral:rRNA from 1 species
GUUUUGAAUCUGGCUCAGAUUGAACGCUGGCGGCAGGCCUAACACAUGCAAGUCGAACGGUAACAGGAAGCAGCUUGCUGCUUUGCUGACGAGUGGCGGACGGGUGAGUAAUGUCUGGGAAACUGCCUGAUGGAGGGGGAUAACUACUGGAAACGGUGGCUAAUACCGCAUAACGUCGCAAGACCAAAGAGGGGGACCUUCGGGCCUCUUGCCAUCAGAUGUGCCCAGAUGGGAUUAGCUUGUUGGUGAGGUAACGGCUCACCAAGGCGACGAUCCCUAGCUGGUCUGAGAGGAUGACCAGCCACACUGGAACUGAGACACGGUCCAGACUCCUACGGGAGGCAGCAGUGGGGAAUAUUGCACAAUGGGCGCAAGCCUGAUGCAGCCAUGCCGCGUGUAUGAAGAAGGCCUUCGGGUUGUAAAGUACUUUCAGCGGGGAGGAAGGUGUUGUGGUUAAUAACCGCAGCAAUUGACGUUACCCGCAGAAGAAGCACCGGCUAACUCCGUGCCAGCAGCCGCGGUAAUACGGAGGGUGCAAGCGUUAAUCGGAAUUACUGGGCGUAAAGCGCACGCAGGCGGUCUGUCAAGUCGGAUGUGAAAUCCCCGGGCUCAACCUGGGAACUGCAUUCGAAACUGGCAGGCUUGAGUCUUGUAGAGGGGGGUAGAAUUCCAGGUGUAGCGGUGAAAUGCGUAGAGAUCUGGAGGAAUACCGGUGGCGAAGGCGGCCCCCUGGACAAAGACUGACGCUCAGGUGCGAAAGCGUGGGGAGCAAACAGGAUUAGAUACCCUGGUAGUCCACGCCGUAAACGAUGUCUACUUGGAGGUUGUGCCCUUGAGGCGUGGCUUCCGGAGCUAACGCGUUAAGUAGACCGCCUGGGGAGUACGGCCGCAAGGUUAAAACUCAAAUGAAUUGACGGGGGCCCGCACAAGCGGUGGAGCAUGUGGUUUAAUUCGAUGCAACGCGAAGAACCUUACCUGGUCUUGACAUCCACAGAACUUUCCAGAGAUGGAUAUGGUGCCUUCGGGAACUGUGAGACAGGUGCUGCAUGGCUGUCGUCAGCUCGUGUUGUGAAAUGUUGGGGUUAAGUCCCGCAACGAGCGCAACCCUUAUCCUUUGUUGCCAGCGGUCCGGCCGGGAACUCAAAGGAGACUGCCAGUGAUAAACUGGAGGAAGGUGGGGGAUGACGUCAAGUCAUCAUGGCCCUUACGACCAGGGCUACACACGUGCUACAAUGGCGCAUACAAAGAGAAGCGACCUCGCGAGAGCAAGCGGACCUCAUAAAGUGCGUCGUAGUCCGGAUUGGAGUCUGCAACUCGACUCCAUGAAGUCGGAAUCGCUAGUAAUCGUGGAUCAGAAUGCCACGGUGAAUACGUUCCCGGGCCUUGUACACACCGCCCGUCACACCAUGGGAGUGGGUUGCAAAAGAAGUAGGUAGCUUAACCUUCGGGAGGGCGCUUACCACUUUGUGAUUCAUGACUGGGGUGAAGUCGUAACAGGGGUUAAGCCG